rnacentral:rRNA from 1 species
CCAGGUCUUGACAUCCCGAUGCUAUUCUAGAGAUAGAAAGUUACUUCGGUACAUUGGUGACAGGUGGUGCAUGGUUGUCGUCAGCUCGUGUCGUGAGGUGUUGGGUUAAGUCCCGCAGCGAGCGCAACCCCUAUUGUUAGUUGCCAUCAUUCAGUUGGGCACUCUAGCGAGACUGCCGGUAAUAAACCGGAGGAAGGUGGGGAUGACGUCAAAUCAUCAUGCCCCUUAUGACCUGGGCUACACACGUGCUACAAUGGUUGGUACAACGAGUUGCGAGUCGGUGACGGCGAGCUAAUCUCUUAAAGCCAAUCUCAGUUCGGAUUGUAGGCUGCAACUCGCCUACAUGAAGUCGGAAUCGCUAGUAAUCGCGGAUCAGCACGCCGCGGUGAAUACGUUCCCGGGCCUU